AGGCCUCACACUUGCUUAAAUAUUAUUCUAUGCUGGGAACUUUCAAAGCAGAUGUGAAAAUAGUGGAUGACCAAACCAUUUCCGUGGAUGGUAAGCCCAUUAAGGGUGUCUCAAAUAGGGAUCCUCUUAAACUUCCUUGGGCUGAGCUUGGAAUUGACAUUGUUAUUGAGGGAACUGGAGUGUUUGUGGAUGGGCCUGGCGCUG